GUGGUGAUAUGUACAGAGUGGAACACUUUACCAACUAAUGGGAAAUUUUCGACAUUAGCGUUAUUCUGUUUCAAAGUCUUAACUUUGCAUUCAAAGGCGUUGAAAAAUGGAGAAGGCACAGAUGCAAGUCCCCAGAGUUAAACUGGGUAGCCAGGGCUUAGAGGUUUCUAGGCUAGGAUUUGGAUGUGGAGGAUUAUCUGGAAUUUAUAAUGCUCCCCUUUCACAUGAAGAAGGGUGUUCAAUCAUUAAAGAAAUAUUCAAUAAGGGUGUCACCUUCUUCGAUACAUCGGAUCUUUAUGGUGAUAAUCAUGAUAACGAAAUCAUGGUUGGCAAGGCUUUAAAACAACUUCCCCGAGAACAAGUCCAGUUGGCUACAAAAUUUGGUGUUACUGUAUCUGAAGGGUUGGUUUUCGGGGUAAAGGGUACCCCUGAAUAUGUGCGACAAUGCUGUGAAGCCAGUCUUAAGCGGCUUGAUGUGGAACACAUUGAUUUAUACUAUCAACACAGAAUUGAUACUUCAGUGCCAAUUGAAGACACUAUGGGAGAGCUCAAACAGCUGGUAAAUGAAGGAAAGAUAAAAUAUAUUGGGUUGUCCGAGGCUAAUGCUGACACUAUAAGGAGAGCUCAUGCUGUUCAUCCUAUUACUGCUUUGCAAAUGGAGUAUUCCUUGUGGUCUCGUGACAUUGAAGAAGAAAUAAUUCCACUCUGCAGAGAACUUGGGAUAGGAAUUGUAGCAUAUAGCCCUCUUGGCCGUGGCUUUUUUGCAGGAAAGGCAGUGGUGGAGACGUUGCCUAGUCAGAGCCUGCUGACUAUGCAUCCCAGGUUCACUGGAGAAAAUUUGGAGAAGAACAAGCUUUUCUAUAAACGACUUGAUGACUUGGCUUCUAAGCAUGCAUGCACUCCUUCACAACUAGCCUUAGCAUGGCUUCUCCAUCAGCGAAACGACAUAAUCCCUAUACCUGGGACUACUAAACUGAAGAACUUUGAAAACAACGUUGGAUCUCUGACUGUCAAGCUUACAGAUGAGGAUUUGACGGAAAUUUCUGAAGCAGUUCCUGAUUAUGAAGUUGCUGGGACACGAGAGUACGAUUGUUUAUUCAGGAACUCAAAUAUUUGAGUGUAAGGAGGUGCAGAAAUAAAUUAUGGAGGUGUAGAAAGAAACUUCCUGUCACCGAAUACUAUUCAAGGAUCAGGGCCGAUCCAAGGUGGAAUCGGGAUUAAAUCCUGUAAACUAAUCUUACACUUCAUCCAUAACUUGAAGUCACAGGUCCAAUCAAAUUCUUAGAAGGCAUGUCAUCUUAAUUGCGUCAAACUUUCGACGAAUUACGCUUACGUUCUUCCCUCAACACUGCUUAAUCUCACAUCUCAUUAUUAUUACAUCAGUAUUUCUUUAUAAAUUUACUAGGAAAUUAUUUUCCAUAGUUUAUCAUUCUAUUUUCUAAUUUUUAAAACUCUAUUAUAUAUAUUCAGCGUAAUGUUGUAUCACACAGAAAAAUUAAAAUAGCUUUAACAUUUUGAAAAGUGUAUUUUGAAGGAAUUAGUGGUGAUGAUUUAGGUUUAAUUAUUACGUAGAUGUGUGUAGAAUGUUCUAGGUCUCAGCAAAGGGUGGAAGUAUGAAAAAGAGGAAAGACCUGAUAUUGACCUAGUGUUUCUUUAUGGUUCUUAUGAAAGCCACGUCUC